rnacentral:rRNA from 1 species
AGCAGCCGCGGUAAUUCCAGCUCCAAUAGCGUAUAUUAAAGUUGUUGCAGUUAAAAAGCUCGUAGUUGAAUUUCGGGAUCAAUACGUCGGUCGUGCUUUCGGGUACGUACUGGCGUCAUUGGUUUCUCCUUUCUGACGAACCAUGAUGUCAUUAAUUUGGUGUUAUGGGGAGUUAGGACUGUUACUUUGAAAAAUUAGAGUGUUUAAAGCAGGCAUUAGCUUGAAUACAUUAGCAUGGAAUAAUGAAAUAGGACGUUCGAUCCUAUUUUGUUGGUUUCUAGGAUCAACGUAAUGAUUAAUAGGGAUAGUUGGGGGCAUUAGUAUUCAAUUGUCAGAGGUGAAAUUCUUGGAUUUAUGAAGACUAACUACUGCGAAAGC